rnacentral:rRNA from 1 species
UACAGAGGGGGCAAGCGUUAUUCGGAAUUAUUGGGCGUAAAGGGCGCGUAGGCGGCUUGGCAAGUGGAAGGUGAAAUCCCUCGGCUUAACCGAGGAACUGCCCUCCAAACUGCUUCGCUUGAGACCGGCAGAGGUGAGUGGAAUUCCCAGUGUAGCGGUGAAAUGCGUAGAUAUUGGGAGGAACACCAGUGGCGAAGGCGGCUCACUGGACCGGUACUGACGCUGAUGCGCGAAAGCGUGGGGAGCAAACGGG